GAGAGAGGCGGUUUGCACAUCAAGAAUGAAGCACACGGAAGCAGGAUCUAUAUUUCAAAGGUCGAUCACAUGGGUGGCUCGCCAGUCCGCGCGCCGCUGUAGCUCUCCAGGGAAGGCAAGCAGGGCAGACGAAUCCAGGAUCCAGCACAGCAGUUCAAAUCCAACAAAAAAAAAACCCGGCCUUGCAACACAAAGCCAAAGACUCAUCAGUAGUCUGUACAUUCAGAUUAAGACAUAGUAUACACUGUGAACAUCUAAAUUGUAUAACACUUGUAACCUUCCAUUUACUCUGUGAAAUAAACUUGGAUAAAGCUUA